ensembl:lncRNA
AUUAUUCAACAAUGCUAGCAACAAGCCCCCAACACAUUGCAUAUGCUAACCGCUAAUCUAACUAACGAAUUAACAACAGAGUGAUUUUAGAACUAUAAGAUGAUAAGCUGUGUGUCUUUUUCAUAACAGUGACAUGGUUGUAUUUACCUUAAUUGAACAAGUCGUCAGUCGCGGUAAACCCAUCAGCAAAUAAACUGGAGCAGCCGGGCUACGUAAAAAGUGUAGGGGGGGCGUCUUUGUGUCCAGCGGGUGUGUGGGCGGGAGUGUUGCACAGUCGCUCCACCUCAAGUCACUACUGCGCAGACUCUGGCUCCAAAUUUGCAAGAUGGCAGCCUCCACAAGCGGGAUAUUUUGGCUUCAUUUUUGCACAAUGGGAGGAGGCGCUGUCGCGUCGUCCAUGUUUUCUACAGUCAUUGGUCAACAUAUCAAAAAAAUGAUAUGGCAACAUGUUGUUUAGGAAAACGAGGAAGUUUUAGGAGUGAUGACAGCGAGAGAGAGAGAGAGAGAGAGAGAGAGUUUUGAUAUGUGAGAGAUUUGUGACACUUCGAGUGUUUAGAGUGUGUUUUUGGUGUGUAGUGUAGUCGAUAGUUGUGUUGUUUGUGUGAAAACAAAGGGGUGACUGCUGAAUGCAGCAGUUGCUGCCUCUAGUGAAUGUUGUUCAGCAUGUUUAUCUGGCCUUAAAAUCGUUUUUCCACUCACAGGAAAAUCAAGUCCUGCAGCUGAUGCAGCAGUUUAUUCUGAAGUCACAUUAGGAAGCUUUCCUGGUCAGUGAGGAGAGCUGCAGCAGCAAAGCCAAGAAGAAGCAUUUUAUGAAUCCACUGUUGCUGCUCUGCUGCCCAAAUAUCAGACACACUCACUUUUUUGUCACUUUUGUUAAGAUGCCAUUAAAUAAUAAUAUGACAUAGAUAUAGUAUCGGUGGUGUCCUGUGACUUGUACAGUAAUGCAAGCAGAGACGAUGUUUGUAGUCUCUGUGAGGACCAGCUUUCUAUGAAAACUAUAAUUAAACUAAAAAAAGUUGUUUAUAA